GACCGCACGGGAUAAUGUAUUAUCCCAUGCGGUGUAAUAAGGCCGACCGCACGGGAUAAUCUACUAUCCCGUGCAGUC
rnacentral:pre_miRNA from 9 species